CAAAAAAGCAUGGGAGGCCUCUAAAGCCAGAAAAGGCAAGAGUACAAAUAAUCCUUUACAGCCUUCAGAUAGAAUGCAGCCCUGAUGGCAGCUUGAUUUUAGCUCUUGUCAGAAUUCUGACCUGCUAAAAUGAAAAAACUUCUAGGGGAAUUGGAUGUGAAAAGUGUCCCUGGUCCUAUGAUCACAAAGAUUUGCAGCAAGGUCAAGACACAGAAGUAACAAAUGCUUCCAGCUUCAGCAAAUGGUGCCCCAUCUUCUGCAUGGGAAUACCCAUUAUUCCAAGCCUGUUUUCGGGGAAAGUGAUAGACAAUGGUGGUGCCCAGGGUGCAGGGAACAAAGGGAACUGGACAGAUGGAAAAUACGCAUUGGGGUUAUAAAAUACAAUUCUGCAGAGGUCCUUUUCCUCAGACACAACCUAGAAAAUGGCAAUGAAAAAGAUAAGGAAAAUUAAAGAGAUGAAAUCCAAGAUCAUUAGAAAGCUGUACAUACUGAUACAGACACCCAGGAACCUCAAAAUCACAGGAUACAAAGGGAGAAAAGCAGUAAUCGACCAGCUAGGACUCAGCUAAGCAGGACAGCAGAGUAAAAUGAGGCUCAAGUGCUAACUUCUGGCAGGUUCUUAGGCUUUGGGACUCCGACUGGCUUCCUUGUUCCUCAGCUUGCAGAUGGACUAUUGAGGGACCUUGUGAUCAUGGAAAAAAACAAACCAACCAACAAACUGAGCCUGAAACUGAUAACACAGAUACGUACAGCAUCAUAUUUAAGUAACCAAUCGGAAUUAUUGCAGUGGAGAUGUUUUAUUGGUGGGAAAUACGGUAUCACACCAUUUCAGACAUCAGGAGAUAAUUAUCCCUGUCUUCUCGGAACCAGCUUCUUCAAAGGAGUCAGGAAU